rnacentral:rRNA from 1 species
CGGGUGAGUAACACGUGGAUAACCUACCUAUAAGACUGGGAUAACUUCGGGAAACCGGAGCUAAUACCGGAUAANAUUUUGAACCGCAUGGUUCAAAAGUGAAAGACGGUCUUGCUGUCACUUAUAGAUGGAUCCGCGCUGCAUUAGCUAGUUGGUAAGGUAACGGCUUACCAAGGCACGAUGCAUAGCCGACCUGAGAGGGUGAUCGGCCACACUGGAACUGAGACACGGUCCAGACUCCUACGGGAGGCAGCAGCC